GUGGAGAAGCAGCAAGAAAGGAAGUUGAAGAUGUCAGUUUGUUCUUCAUUUCUACUUCUAUGCCUGGGUCAGCCAGCGAGGGCGUAAGUGGCGUUGUAAGAUGGUGACAUCGUAUAAGCUGUAAGACGGCAGCAUCAUGAGCCUGUAAAGACUGUGCAAAGAGAAAUAAAGACAUCUUGCCAUCAGUCAAACGAACUCUUUUUACUGACAUCUGAAUGGCUAAAGAAGAGGUAUUUGUCUGUCAUUGGUUUUGUCAUUAACAUUGACACAUUGAAGCUGAUGGUUCCUUAACUGCUCCAAAUUCAGUGAUAUGUCCUCACAUACAUGUUCAGCCAAG